CUGGGAUACAGUGGCCGAUAAAAGCCGCGCAGCCAUCGUGCAGCCGUCAGCCACACCGGAAAACAACUCGAGGAAUCGAGGUGGCACCUACAAUGUCCAACCAGUACUGGAGCACGGCGAGGCUUUUUCUCACGUGUCUACAUAUGCGACAGCGACAGAAAGUAGCGGCCUUCCAGUGCCGGCGUCCAGUGGUGGCGCCUGCCAUUCAAUCCCAAGUACAAGUCGC
rnacentral:lncRNA from 1 species